UAUCAAAAACAUGUCUUAUUGAUAUUAAAUAUUAAGUCAGGCCUGCCCAAUGAUUGAAUUUAAUGGCUGCAGUAAUUUAACUGUACAAAGGUAGCAUAAUAAUUAGUUUUUUAAUUGAGGACUAGAAUGAAAGGUUUUAUGAAAUAUUUACUUUAUUAAAUUAAUUAAUAUAAUUUUAUUUUUUAGUUAAAAAGCUAAAAUUUACAUAUAAGACGAGAAGACCCUAUAGAUUUUAAUAAUUAUAGUUAAUAUGGUUUAUUUAGAAUUAAUUAGUAGUAUUAUUAUAUUUAUUUUGUUGGGGUGAUAGUAAAAUUUAAUAAACUUUUAUUUAAUUUAGACAUUAAUUUAUGAUUUAUUGAUCCAUUUUUAUUGAUUGUUAGAUUAAAUUACCUUAGGGAUAACAGCAUAAUUUAUUUGGAAAGUUCAUAUUAAUAAAUAAGUUUAUGACCUCGAUGUUGGAUUAAGAUAAAUUUUAGGAGUAUAAAUUUAAAUAUUAAGUCUGUUCGACUUUUAAAAUCUUACAUGAUCUGAGCUCA
rnacentral:rRNA from 1 species